AUGAUUAUUAUUAAACUUUUUUAUUUUUUAUUUAGGUGGGGCACUGCAUGGAACCAAGUUAAAGCUCCUCUAUCUGCCGAUUCCUCUGAGCAAGCACCAAACCGUGGUUUUCUGUCUUUUUACAGAGACCUCAGAGCAAACUUCAACUCCAGAACAGUGUGGACUGAAGCUGUCAUGGUCAGUGGUGGAAAAAGUAUUGAAUUGUCAUACUACAGUAAAAGUAAAUAGAAAAUGACUCAAGUAAAAGUGAAAAUCACCCAGUAAAAUAGUACUUGAGUAAAAGUCUAAAAGUAUUUGGUUUGAAAAAAUACCUAAACAUUUUUUUUUUUAAAUUACCUUUAAUCGACCAGGUAGGCCAGUUGAGAACCAGUUCUCAUUUACAACUGCGACCUGGCCAAUAUAAAGCAAAGCAGUACGACACAAACAACUACACAGAGUUACACAUGGAAUAAACAACUGUACAGUUAAUAACACAAUAGAAAAAAUCUAUAUACAGUGUGUGCAAAUGAGGUAAGAUUAGGGAGGUAAGGAAAUAAAUAGGCCGUAGUGGCGAAGUAAUUACAAUUUAGCAAUUAAACACUGGAGUGAUAGAUGUGCAGAAGAUUAAUGUGCCAGUGGAUAUACCGGGGUGCAAAGGAGCAAGAUAAAUAAAUAAAUACAGUAUGGGGAUGAGGUAGAUAGAUGUGCUGUGGGCCACACAAGGACAUUCAGAGACUUGUCCCAAAGCCACUUCUGCAUUGUCUUGGCUGUGCUUAGGGUCGUUGUUCUGUUGGAAGGUGAACCUACGCUCCAGUCUGAGGUCCUGAGUGCUCUGGAGCAGGUUUUUGUCAAGGAUCUCUCUGUACUUUUCUCUGUUCAUCUUUCCCUCAAUCCUGACUAGUCUCCCAGUCCCUGCCGCUGAAAAACAUCCCCACAGCAAGGGAUGGUGCCAGGUUUCCUCCAGACGUGCCGCUUGGCAUUCAGGCGAAAGGGUUCCAUCUUGGUUGCAUCAGACCAGAGCAUCUUGUUUCUCAUGGUUUAAGAGUCCUUUAGGUGGCUCUCCAAGCG
rnacentral:lncRNA from 13 species